CAUUUUUCACGUGAAAAACAGAUCAAGGAGAGAGAGAAAACGAGCUCUAGCCCUUGCCGCUCAUAUUUUCCGUCCCCGGCGCCGAUUCCGGCCAAAUUCGGCCACAAUUCUUAUACUAAUCUCUUCCUUACCUCAUGGGCUUCCUAUCUACAUAAGUUUCAAGACCUAUUAUCAAUUGUGCGUGACGAAUCGAAGGGGGAAGAUUGGGUGGUUUUCCGGCUAUUUUCUGAAUUCCGGCCAAACCAUUGAGAAUUUGGAGAAAUCCUAAGGUAAUCUAGUUGAGCAAGCUUCCGAAGACAUUCCCGAGAUGGGACUCACCUAGUCACCCUUAUUGUAGUACAUUUCACUGAGGUCGGACCGCACCACGUUGAUGCAUUCUCCUUAUCCACCAUCAUCCAUCUCGACUUGUAGGAUUUGUUCCCUUUCGUACUCUUAUAUUUCUUACCUAAUUGGACCGUGUAACUUAUGCUCUGAUGUAACCAUAAAUUGACUAUUGGAUUCCUAAGAUGCAAUUGUUGGGUUAUAACCCCUUGCUUUGGUUGGUGGUGGAUGUUUUUGUGAAG